UUGCCACCGUAUUGAUUUGUUCCUUGAAUUUGAUUCGAUUGUGAUUGGAUUCUGCAUGCGUGAAAUGUCUUUUGUAUUUAACAAUUUGGGAUCGGAAUUCGCCGAUUCGGGUAGUUCUAGAAACUAGAAUUGGUAUUGAGUUUCUGGCGCCCACAAUAGCACGAAGCGUAAAGGCUUCUGAGAGAAACGAGUAUCAGUAAUUGGAUAUGCGGUGAUUGGGUCAGUAUUUAUGAUUAUUAUUAUCGUUUAUGAGUUCAAUUGUGAGCCUAGAGAUUCAGCCUCUGUUGGGAGAUAUAUGCCUUAACCUGUUGUGCUAGGCUUUGCCUGGCAGAUAGGUUAGUAUUAGUUUUAGAGCGCAAUUUCUUAUUCAUCUUACCAAGAAAGUAAUUACGCCCUUUCUUUUUGAUGAAAAGUUGGGGUUUUCCCCACCAGAAACGUAAAUUGUUCUUGAAUCGUUCCACAUUACUUCAUUGAUCGAGUGGUGUCAAUCUGUAUCCAAACCAUAUAACUGUAGCUUAUUUGAAUUUUAUUGCUCUGAAGAUUCGAGUGUUAAAAGAUCGUCAACAGUACUUAAAUAUGAGAAAAGUCAAAUGUCAUCGUACAAACUGCUGCACGUUUGGAAAUGUCAGAGAGAUUCCUGUUCAUUAGUUUUUAUUGUACCAGUACUAAUAUGGAAGCUAAAGUACUUAGGCUUUUCUUCCCAGAUAAAGAAAAAUCAACACCUUUGAACUUGCAAAUAGUUGAGCUUAUUUGCAACUGCUGAGUGCUUGAGCUAGCUA